GACGAACCGUGCGAACGUUGUUCGGAAUCACUGGGCAUAAAGGGCGCGUAGGCGGCUUGUCAAGUCAGGGGUGAAAUCCGGCAGCUUAACUGUCGAAGUGCCUUUGAUACUGAUGAGCUCGAGGGAGGUAGGGGUAUGCGGAACUUCCGGUGGAGCGGUGAAAUGCGUUGAUAUCGGAAGGAACGCCGGUGGCGAAAGCGGCGUACUGGACCUCUUCUGACGCUGAGGCGCGAAAGCUAGGGGAGCAAACGGG
rnacentral:rRNA from 1 species